rnacentral:lncRNA from 1 species
GGUAUUUUAACCGCGCCGUUCUGAGGAAACUUGCCUCGGCAGCUCUUGUGAGCACACGUAGGCGAAGGCGUUUUCCGCUACUCGCAGAAGGAGGCAGACAGACGACUUUGAAGGGCCAGCUGAGCGCUAAAUGAGGUGGCCGUGAAUCCCCGCGCAGGUGACAGCCGAGUCCCGAUUUCGCUGCAGUGCGCACAACUUCACUUCCUUGCGACUCCGUCUGGUCCGCAGAAGUGCAGAAAGGCAUUUGAAGAUGAUGCGAUUGCUGUUCCUGUGUCUGCUGCUGCUGCUGCCAGCUGCUGCGGCUGUUUCAGAAGAUGUGGAGGGAUCAGCUACUGGCGAUGUCACUAAUGAUGACGAGGACUAUGGCAGGAAUGGCGAAAUUGGUGGGCUUCCUCCCACCUCAACUGCAGAUAAGGCCACAGGCGUCGGUGAAAACCAGUUAAUGCUGACUGUCAUCAUUGCAGCCGUGGCAGUUGUGGCUCUUUCCAUCGCAGCAAUAGUCACCAUAUUCCUAGUAAGACGCAAAAUGCACAAUCGGCAGCAAGGGAUCUACUCGGUGCCUACAGAACAGGACCAGAAAGGGGCCGUCUAA